AGAGUUUGAUCCUGGCUCAGAUUGAACGCUGGCGGCAUGCCUUACACAUGCAAGUCGAACGGCAGCACGGGAGCAAUCCUGGUGGCGAGUGGCGAACGGGUGAGUAAUGUAUCGGAACGUACCAUUGAGUGGGGGAUAACGUAGCGAAAGUUACGCUAAUACCGCAUAUACCCUGAGGGGGAAAGCAGGGGAUCGCAAGACCUUAUGCUCUUUGAGCGGCCGAUAUCAGAUUAGCUAGUUGGUGAGGUAAAGGCUCACCAAGGCGACGAUCUGUAGCGGGUCUGAGAGGAUGAUCCGCCACACUGGAACUGAGACACGGUCCAGACUCCUACGGGAGGCAGCAGUGGGGAAUUUUGGACAAUGGGGGCAACCCUGAUCCAGCCAUGCCGCGUGAGUGAAGAAGGCCUUCGGGUUGUAAAGCUCUUUCGGCCGGGAGGAAAUCGCAUCAGUUAAUACCUGGUGUGGAUGACAGUACCGGAAUAAGAAGCACCGGCUAACUACGUGCCAGCAGCCGCGGUAAUA
rnacentral:rRNA from 1 species